rnacentral:lncRNA from 1 species
AUAUAUUUGGUAUUCAUUUUAAUCCUAUAUAUUUUAUUUUAUGCAAUUAAAAACAUUGUUCUUAGAAUUGUUCCAUAGGUUUCACGAGACUGCCAAAGGCUGCCAUGAUAGACACACAAAAAGUGAAGAAUCCCUGGUGUAAAGGAAUGAUAACAGCUUGGUCUGAUCCCUGCCAAAGAGAUUUUGGUUUUAACAAGAGAUCAAAGCCAUAACCCUAAUGGAUGAAGUUAUCCUUCUGAAUUCCAGGCAGUGUCUUGGGAAGCAUGCCUUUGGGCAGACAAGACUGCACAAACCCUAUAGACAAGUCCCCUCUCUGUUGCCUGCCCAGCUCCCUAGAAAGCCCUUAGUCAGAAGGAUUAGUGAGUUGGGGGGAAAAACAGAAAAAAAUGCAAAUAAAUAGCACCAGGAACCAGAACAAUGCAUGCACAUGUAAGUUUUUCAGUUCUAAAUGUUAAUUACUUGAGGUCUCCUGAGCCCAGCUUAAAAAUAGAUGUGCUGGUUCCUUUUGUUCAUCCAUCAAAAGGGGUCAUUCCUUCCAGACACAUUCUCAUCACCCUCUUUUCACCCCGUAGCUGAGUUGUCAACCAAAAGCAACUGUAAGUCUCUUACGAUGGCGUCACAUAGUCACAUUAGCAGGUGCCCUUUCAUACCAAAAAUCUGUUGCAAAAGAAGACACAUCAAUUAUACAAGAAAAAAAAACACAUGAAGGAAAUGAAGUGAAAAAUGAUCUAUUUCAGUCUGCAUUCAGACUCCAUCAGCUCCUUCUAUAAGCCCUGGCUAGCCUUUUCUGUUGAGUCUUGGAGUUGUCCUGGAUCCUUUUAUUGGUAAUAAUAGUUAAUUCGUUCACGGUUGGUCAUCAUGCAUUAUUGUUGUUACUGUAUAUAAUAUUCUCCUGGGUUCUACUCACUUUACUGUGCAUCCCUUCAUAUAAGUCUUCCCAGGAUUUUUGUGAUCAUGCUGUUCAUUCCUUAUAGUAAAAUAGUGUUCCAUUGCAAUCAUGUACCACAACUUGUUCAGUCAUUUCCAGUGGAUGGACAUCCCCUCAGUUUCUAAUUCUUUGCCACCACAAAAAGACCUGCUACAAAUAUUUUUGUACAAGUAGGUUCUUUUCCUCUGUCUUUGAUCUCUUUGGGAUACAGACCUAAGUAGUGAUUUUGCUGGGUCAAAGUGUAUGCACAAAGGGUAUCUUUGAUGGCCCUUUGGGCAUGGUUUCAAAUUGCUCUCCAUAUUGGUUGUAUCAGUUCACAUCUCUACCAACAGUGUAUUAGCACCCCAAUUUUUCUACAUUCCCUCCAACAUUUAUCAUGUUUCUUUUUUUGCCAUAUUAGACAGCCUGAUAGGUGUGAGGUGGUAUCUCAGAGCUAUUUUAAUUUGUAUUUUUCUAAUUAAUACUGAUUCAGAGCUUUUUUCUUAUGACUAACAAUUUCAAUUUAUCUGAAGACUUCCUAUCCAUAUCCUUUGGCCAUUUAUUGAUUGGGAAAUGAUUUGUAUUCUUAUAAUU